CCUACGGGAGGCAGCAGUGAGGAAUAUUGGUCAAUGGACGAGAGUCUGAACCAGCCAAGUAGCGUGAAGGAUGACUGCCCUAUGGGUUGUAAACUUCUUUUAUAUGGGAAUAAAAUGUUCCACGUGUGGGAUUUUGUAUGUACCAUAUGAAUAAGGAUCGGCUAACUCCGUGCCAGCAGCCGCGGUAAUACGGAGGAUCCGAGCGUUAUCCGGAUUUAUUGGGUUUAAAGGGAGCGUAGGUGGGUUGUUAAGUCAGUUGUGAAAGUUUGCGGCUCAACCGUAAAAUUGCAGUUGAAACUGGCAGUCUUGAGUACAGUAGAGGUGGGCGGAAUUUGUGGUGUAGCGGUGAAAUGCUUAGAUAUCACGAAGAACUCCGAUUGCGAAGGCAGUUCACUGGACUGCAACUGACACUGAGGCUCGAAAGUGUGGGUAUCAAACAGGAUUAGAUACCCGUGUAGUC
rnacentral:rRNA from 1 species